rnacentral:tRNA from 1 species
GGGCUCGUAGUCUAGUGGCUAUGCGCAAAAUCAGAGAUUUUGGCAUCUCUGGUUUGCACCACAGAUGACGUCGCCUUCACACGGCGGAGGUCCCCGGUUCGAGUCCGGGCGGGCCCA